rnacentral:tRNA from 1 species
GACAAGGUAGCUCAGUGGUAGAGCGAUCGACUGUUAAUCGAUUUGUCGCUGGUUCGACUCCAGCCCUUAUCU